rnacentral:rRNA from 1 species
UUAAGGAAUUGACGGGGAGCACCACGAACGGGUGGAGCUUGCGGUUUAAUUGGAUUCAACGCCGGAAAUCUUACCGGGACCGACAGCAAUAUGAAGGCCAGGCUGAAGACUUUGCCGGAUUAGCUGAGAGGUGGUGCAUGGCCGUCGUCAGUUCGUACUGUGAAGCAUCCUGUUAAGUCAGGCAACGAGCGAGACCCACGCCCACAGUUGCCAGCGUACUCUCUGGAGUGACGGGUACACUGUGGGACCGCCGCUGCUAAAGCGGAGGAAGGAAUGGGCAACGGUAGGUCAGUAUGCCCCGAAUAUCCCGGGCUACACGCGAGCUACAAUGGUUGGUACAAUGGGUAUCUACCCCGAAAGGGGACGGGAAUCUCCUAAAACCAAUCUUAGUUCGGAUUGAGGGCUGCAACUCGCCCUCAUGAAGCUGGAAUCCGUAGUAAUCGCGUUUCAACAGAACGCGGUGAAUACGUCCCUGCUCCUU